AGGAAUUGGCCCAGAAAACCUUCAACUUCUGGGAAAUGAAACAGGGGGAUUGUGUGGAUGACCUGAAGCCUUCCCUUAUAUCAAAGAUAACUUUUAAGCACUUUGAAGAAAGUUGGGAUGGGGAUAAGGGCAGGGGAAGAGACCCUAAGAUUGUAUGCUUCCGGAAUAAUCUUUUCCAGUGUACAGGUCUCACCAUGCCAUUCCCUGGCUUAAGAGCCUUUAGUGACUGUCUAUUGCCACAAAGACAAAAUACAAACUCUGCAGCCUCACUCUAUUUUAAGCUGUUUUUAAGGUAGAAAAAUAUUCUGUAUGAAGAAAUGUUUUGUGAAAAUUUUUGUGUGAUUUUUAGAAGGCCUACUAAAUUUUCAUUUGCAAGCUAAUUUAUUGCGAUGAUAAUUUGAUAUUGAUAACAAGCAUGUCUAAAUCCACUGUGAAUUUCCAAGUUUCAUUCCUAGGUUUGUUGUAUCCUUGCACUAAUCUUAAAUAGGUGUUUUCAGAGAACAGAGUCAGUCAGCAGCUCAAUGGAAGCAACAUCAGAGAUCUAAGGCUAGUAAUUAAUACUAAAGCAUCUAAAUUAUUGUAAUAAACUGAGAAGUGGGAAAGUU